UGUUUUCUUUUUUUUUUUUUUGCAAGUUAUUCCUAGUGAAAUAACUCACUGGGAUUAGUGUGGAAGCAAAUACUGCUAAGCUAUCUCUCUAAAAGCCAGGCAAAUCUGCUCGCUCGGUUCCUUUUGCCCCCGGCCCAGCACCCAUUUGCUGUGCACAGCUUGAUUUUUACAUUACACCAAAGUUUUGCAAUCAAAUCUGAUAUUAAACUCCUUGUUUAUGUCGAAUGCAAUUUUGCUGUGUGAUUAGUUUAUCUCCUUGAGCUUCUGAGGAAAAAAAACAUCGUACUGUAUAUACACAUAGAAAUAAGGGUAUAACUUGAGUCUUUUAACCCACUUUCUGCCAGAAUUAAUUGGUUCUCCACAGAGUGAGGCAUGUGCAUGAUAGAGUUUAGGAUCUAAAGAAACAAGCAAUAAAUACCCUUGUUGAGAGGACUCGUGUGUCUGGGAGUGCAGAACUCCCCCAGCUCCCCGGUGGGGUUGGCGUCUGUGAGAACUCCAUUUGCGAGCAGCUGCCGUCACUUAGAGGUAAAUGGUUUGAAACAGUAUUUUUCCAUUUCUCACUUGGCGCUGCUUGUUUUGAUCAUGAUAUAAACAGAUAGCUUAAGAAAGCGCUGAAGUAGAGCUUCUCAAAUUAAUACCCAGCUGGCAAAGUAUGUGAUCUGAAGCAAAAUUUGUCACAUUUUGGAUGCAUAUAUUAAAGCUGAGGCUUGCUGGUAUGUUUGCAGGAUGAUUAAUAUUUACAACUCAUUGCAAAGUGAUUAUCCAUUUACCAUUUUAACAUAAUUUUAUGAAAUGCUUCCAGUUAAAAAAGAAGCAGAAUUGACAGCAGCGUGUAACUUCUGUACAGCUGGAACUCGUCUGUGCACCCAGAAAUCCAGUGGUUCCCCAGAUCCCUGGUACCUUCCAGCACCUUUCAGCAAAGCCCUUUCUCAACCAUAUGCAUUGGAGAGAAAUCGUUGUGUGUCUUAGUAAACCAUGGUUAGGGACAUAGCUUAUACAUUUUAAUGUUCAAGCCAGGACAGCAAAUUAGGUGGUGCGGGUUUUUUUUUUUUGGUGUAAUUUAUUUAUUUUUCAGCUCAGUAACUCAGGAGUUUUGAAAAGCGCUGUGAUACCAGGAAUCCACUCCAAAAUGCUUUCCAGAGAAACUAAUAAAUUUAAACUAUCUUGACAAGCACAGCAAUCUUUUCAUGCUUUAAUGAGACAGAGUUGCUCUUCUCCAUUCAUUGUGAAGAUUAAAUAAAACCUGCUUUCUUUUACGCUUACUCUAGCCAAGCUUUUCCUUUCUUUUGUCUGCUUGUUCCCUUUGUUUUCUAGCUCAUUUUAAGUUUAUUUUUCAUUGGGAAAUAUCUUUUUCCAAUCUCGGUGUUAUUUCAGAAGAGCAGACCAUGGAUGGGGAGCGUGCUGGUCACCUCACCAGAGAGACAGGAACAGCAGCUUGGAGGGCAAACAAUAAAGCAAGAGACCCUCAUCCUGCAUCGCCCAUGCACCCCGGGCAAAUGCUUGUGCACCAUGCAGGAUGGUUUAUAAGGGAGCAUUUAGCAUGAUUCCACAGGGCAAUAUCAACACUUCACCCCCCUCUUUUUAUAAUUCUUUUGCUAUUUUCCCAACAAGUGAGCAUCCCAUCCCGACUCUUUUUGCUAACAUCAAUUCUGGGAAAUACCAGAGUAUGACAACAUUGUGUGUGUUUAACCACUGGCUUUGCAGGUGCUCCAGCUUUGUGGGUAAAUCCCAUUUCCCAGACCUGGAGGCACUGGGGUGUCACACCAAAUAUUCCACCUGGGGAAGAAAAUGGAGCCAUGGUAGCUGGUUCCCUUCCUUCCCUCUGCCAGAAGGAGUUAUUUGGGAUGGGACACCUGUGAAGUCAGAGGUGGCAGCUGGAGGUACAUGAGUGACAUUGAUAUGCUGGAGCGAGUGGAGAGAAGGGAAUGGAGCUGGUGAGGGGCUGGAGCACAAGUGUGAUGGAGCGGCUGAGGGACCUGGGGGGUUCAGCUGGAGAACAGGAGCUGAGGGGAGACCUUCUGAUCUCUGAACUGCCUGAAAGGAGCUUGGAGCCAGGGGGGUCGGGCUCUGCUCCCCAGGAACAAGCACCAGGAGCAGAGGAAACAGCCUCAAGUUGCCCAGGGGAGGGUGAGGUUGGAUUUAGGAACAAUUUCUUCCCCAAAGGGCUGUGGGGCAUUGGAACAGGCUGCCCAGGGCAGUGCUGGAGUCACCAUCCCUGGAGGGCUGGACAGACGGACAUGAGGUUCUCAAGGACAUGGUGCAGUGCUGGGGUGGGUUAUGGUUGGACUCAAUGAUCUUGAUCCAACCAAGAUGAUUCUAUGAGCCUAUGAGCUAUGACUGACCAUGCAUGAUGGUAUUUUUCUUCUAUGCUGCGUUCUCCACCGCUGCUGGGAGCAUCACCACUCACAGCAAAGAGAAGAGCAGGUGAUGACAGUGAUGCAAGAAGAGCAUCUUCUCAAAGGGUGUGUGAGCUCCCUUGGGAACUGGGUUUGCAGGAUCAUGUGUCAGGGGGAUUCUGUGCUCAACCUCUCUGCUCGGCACAGGCUGUCGCUUUGGGGUCCCCCUGGGGCAGCAGCUGACCCUGUCCUGCAGCAUCGCAGCCAUGCUGGGAGGUGGCCCCGCCAUAACCCAACACCCAGCAAGCUGAGAUAUUCCAGGUAAAAAAGUGGGCUCUGCUACAUUGUACUACUGAGCCUUGAUCUUGGCAUAAUUUCUGUCAAAACGCUUGCUGGUAAUUACAUAUUGAACUACCUCGAUUCUGAGAAACUAAUUAAUGCAGGGCGGUGCCACACAGUCUCAGAAAAGCACAAAAAGCUGCGUUUUGCGUGGCCCCAGGGGAGUUUUGCAAUGCAGCACCGAGGCAGAGCCGGCUGGGGUGGGGCAGGCCCAGCAGACGCUGGUGCCUCCUGCACCCCACGAUUCCUGACAUUGGAAAGGAGGAAAACAACACUCCCGGUUUACUGAAUCCGUGAGUUCUCGUGGAUACAGGGAACAAAGCAUUUCAUCUAUAGAGCCAGUACAGAAACCACAUCUGACCCCAACUUCUCUAUAUUAAUACUUUCUCAGGUAAAAUGUCAAAAUGAAACACACAGUAACUUUUUUUCUGUGAUGAAUACAAAAUGCAUUUUAGUGAAAUUUUGUAAGCACAAGAAAGAAAAUUCAAUUCCUGAAUUCCAGAUAUUAGAAAGUUUUGCUUUAUGUAUAGUAACUUGCCGGUUAUUACUGUAGAAUAUUUCUUCUCUGCUUUAUAAAGUUUGAUGGUUCAGUGAAGUUUACAGUAGAGCUGAGGAACUGGAUGUCUCAUGACCAGACCACAUGUUCCUCCAAGCAGGUUCCAGGGGACUCCAUCUCCAGCACAAAAUGCUGGGAGAAUCCUGCUUUGAAAAGCCAGCUGAACUAUCUCCUGCUUCUCACUGCAUGCCUUUUGGUAAUGAUGUGAAUGUGAAACCUGAGAAAGCAUAGGCAUCUUUGAAACCAUAAAGACUAUGGGGCUGUGGCAUCUAUCCUGCCCCUCUCAUUUAUUAUUGAUUUCAGGCUUUUUGCGUGUGUGUGGCGAUGUCUCAGCUGAGGGUGAACCCUGUCAUGGACGUGAUGUGGGUGUAAAGGUGUUUUUUCUAUAUAUUGAAAAGCCAAGCAGAGAACUGUUCUGCACAUUGGUCUGCACACUUUGCUCAGAGAUUAACGUUUCCAACACAAACUGAGUGAGCAGCCUUCCUUCUUGGAAUGAGAGGCUGGUGGAGGAUGGAUACCCUGAGUAUGGGUACUAUUCCUUAAGGCUCAGGAUUUCCAUGCAUGUUAAGAUACAAAAGGAGAAAAAGGUAAAUGCUAAAGCCUGUGGAAAUGCCAGUUGCUGCGGACUAUUGCUCCCCAAGCUGCUGGGAGGUGGGAAGGAGGGACAGGAUGUGCCCUGGUGAGAUGUUAAUCCAGAGCAACCAGCAGCCUCUGCUGUGUGUUGGUGCCAAUGGGGGCAUCAGGCUGGGGCUCAUCUGGGUGACACAGUGAGGGGUCCCCUGUCACUGCCACCCUCGCAGGGGCUGCUGGCUGGGAGCGAUGGGUGCGCUGAGCCGCAUCCUCACUGCGGGAUGCUCGAGGGAGAGCUGGGGAGGCGAGGCUGGUGGCAGGACUGGGACCUUCUUCAUCCUCUCCGGAGUCUUGAGACUAAAACAACCUGAAGAUGGAAAGCUGUGGGGUUUUGUUUGCAAGCAAGCAGACUCCUCUUUGUGAACAGCGGUGCAAGUCACAUAACUGAACCAUUCCUGGGUGGGAUGCUGGAGGUGAAAUGGGAUCUUUUUAGGCAUCCCAUCUCAGGAAAACUGUGCAGAUUUGGGUCAAGAGGUUCCCCUCUCCUGUGGGAGCCUUCAGGUCCCAGCGUGGCGCUGCAGCAGUGACACACCAUGGUGUCAAACGUGGCAGCAGCCAGAUGCCCUGGACUGUCCCCAUUGUGGGGCUGGAGCUGGCUCCUGGUCCUCCCUUGCUCCUCUUCGUGUUGGAUAUUCAUUUCUUUCCAUUUCCUAAUUAUGCUGCUUAGUGUAGGUCCUCUAUUUAGCCAGACAAUUAUUUAAUCUGAACAGAACAUACAAAUGUGUGAACUUUUUGAAAGUUUUGUUUUGUUUGUCUGUGUUUUAUGCUCGUGUGGUUUUUGUUUUUUUAGAUGACCUUGGUAGGCCACCUCUUGUUACCUCUGAGGAUCCUGCUUAAUCUAAAUCAAACAUCUUGAAUAUGUAACAAAGAAGAAUCAAUCUUUUUUUUUACAUUAACUGUAGCUCAGAUGCUGUGUGGUCUGAUGCAUCCAGACUGGGUGGUAAUAAGUUCACUUCUUUUGAUUUCCUGGGCUCAUAAGAAACUUCUUUACUUUGCUAAGAACCUUCUUUGCUGUGAGGCGCCAGAGCCCUGGACCAGGAGUCUCCUUCUCUGGAGACACUUGGAGAUGCGCAUGGUGAGAGGUCCAUGGGUGCUGUUGCCAGCUCACUCCCUGCUUGCUGGCUUCAUGCUGUUUUCAUGUUAAUUUGCAAAUGACAAGUGAGCCUUCCUGCUGUGCCUGCUUUUCAGAAUUGAUAUUAAUCAAUCCAAGGCACAAACAAAACAAUUAAAAAUCAAUAGCUGUGCAGCUAUUAGAGAGCAAAAUUUCAUUAAGGUUAAUAAUUGCGGGAAUUAGGGAACUAAUCAGCCAUAGGGAUCUCCAGAAGAAGCCACCCCAGGCUCUGUUCUCCAUCCAGCCUGCCCUGACCCUGCCAAACAUUUAGAAUAAGUUACUUGCUAUUAUUUUGUAGCUAAUAGUCAUGAUAAGGAUUGAAAAUCAGGCUUGUAGCUAAUAACUCAUGUACUUGGCAAUAAUCUCUUUGUAGAAUAAAUGCAAGCAGCAUGUGGCACAGGACUGUGCUGGAAAGGCGGAGCCGCCUGUCCUGGGUCUGUCUCUCUGUGCCAUAAGAGGUAUUUUUUCCAUAAAACCAGCUUUCAGGCACUUAUCUUUGUAAAUUCACUUUAGUAGUGCUUGUCUUUGGCUUGAAAACCACGAGCUGAUAGCCCUAAGGCAGCACUUCAAGACCACAAGAGUACAAGUAAUGAGUUCAAGUGAGGAAAAAGGAAAUGAAAAUCUGAACACAAAGGACAGAUUUUUGUCAAAACUCCACUCUCUGGUGAGGUCAGCAGAAUGACUUAACAUAGAACCAUAACAGACUUUGUUUUAGAUUUGCAUGCAAAUAUCCUAUUUAUUUGUUUUUGUGGACCCUGACACGCUUUAAGGAACCCCUGGGAUCGUAGGGAAUUACAGGGAGUGUGAUGGGGCACUGCUACUGGAGACAAAACACACAAUAUCCAGGCUGAAUGAUACGAGAGGAAAUACUGAUGAAAGGCACAGAUCAAGGAGAAAUAAAAUAAUAGGAUAGUAGUUAGCCUACACUAACAUGCUGCCGUACUUGAUGAACUCUGCUCCUGGCAGCCGACCUGCCCCCGACAGGGCUCACUGGGUAAAUGUAUAAUCAGACUUGGAUGUUUUAUUAUGUGCAAAUGUAUAAUUGGGCUUGUAUUUUUAUUAUGUGUAAAUAUAUAAUCAGGCAUAUUUUUUUAUUAUAGGUAAAUAUGAAAUUGGACUUGUGAUUUUUUUUUUUUUUUUUUUUUUUUCAGUUUUCAUACACGAAGACGCUGGAGGGAGUGGAGCAUCUCCCGUGUGAGGAAAGGCUGAGGGAGCUGGGGCUCUGGAGCUGGACAAGAGGACACUGAGGGGGGACUCAUUCAUGGCGAUCAAUAUGGAAAGGGGGAGUGUCAGGAGGAUGGAGCCAGGCUCUUCUCGGUGACAGCCAGUGACAGGACAAGGGGCAAUGGGUUCAAACUGGAACACAAGAGGUUCCAAUUAAACUUGAGAUGAAACUUGUUUGGGGUGAGGGUGGCAGAGCCUGGCCCAGGCUGCCCAGGGGGUUGUGGAGUCUCCUUCUCUGCAGACAUUCCAACCCGCCUGGACACCUUCCUGUGUAACCUCAUCUGGGUGUUCCUGCUCCAUGGGGGGAUUGCACUGGGUGAGCUUUCGAGGUCUCUUCCAAUCCCUGAUAUUCUGUGAUUUUGUGAAAUAGCGCAUGCCUAAUAAAGAUUUCUGUCCCAGAAGAUGAGACGUGAGCCCUAGCGAAGUCUCUAAGGAGCCCAUGGCCACCAUGCAGAUGUUGCCCUGACACGUGCACAGGUUUUGCUUGGGAGCACCAGGACAUGGCAAAAGUGUCUCAUCCCCUGGGAUAUUUGCAGCCAAGAUGUGGUGAGAGGAGCAAACAUUGAGAGCAGGAAUAGCAGGUACGUCCCCUCUUGUGCUCACCCUCGGGGUUUGGGGCUGGGGAGCAGCGUGUGGAGGGCACAGACACUUGGAUGAAUCCUGCAUCAGUCAUUUUCAGAAAAGUUAUGAAUUAUAUCUAAUGAUAUAGUUGUCAGUCAAAUCCAGACUGUGUGUGUGGUUUUGGUUUGGUUUUUAGUUUUUUAUUUUGUUGUAGUUUGUGUUAUUUUUCUCUUUAAUUAAAGUUAGCUAGAGAGCUUGUUUUAAAAUCAGGUAGGGUGGCUGAAAUUCAAUAUACUCAUCAGAAAAACAGCAAUCAUAGAAUCACAAAUGGUUUGUGCUGAAGGGCCCUUCCCAGCUCCCCAGUGCCCCCCCUGCCAUGAGCAGGGACAUCUUCACCAGCUCAGGUUGCUCAGAGCCCCGUCCAGCCUGGCCUGGGAUGUCUCCAGGGAUGGUUCAUCUACCACCUCUCUGGCCAACCUGGGCCAGGCUCUCACCACCCUCAGGGCCAACAAUUUCUUCCUCAUGUCCAGCCUGAAUCUCCUUCCUUUAGUUUAAACCAUCACCCCUUGUCCUAUCGCAACAGACGCUGCUGAAAAGUCUGUACCUGUUUAAUUUUAUUAAUUUUUAUAUUAUACAUCAUCUGUUUUCCCUGUUGAUUGAUAACAAAGGAAUGUAAAAGCAAUUUAUAAGGCUAAUCAUUUCUAAGUAACUGGUGUUUUUAAAAAGACAAAACAUGGGCCAUACAACUUAUAAAUAAGAAAUAAUUAUCUUUUAUAAACUCCAAUGGAGUGUGUGCGCCAAUGUGCAUUUGUGCUUGGGCAACAAUCUGCUCUGAAUCUUCCCUCCAGGAAUGCAGAAUCCCUUGGUGCUGGGGCUGGAACAGGUCUCCAUCGCUUUCAGAUAAAAUGAUCAAACUGUUUUGCUUUGGCAUGAAUAACUUUGAUUAUAAGCAAUGGAAUAGCCUGCGACACCGUUUCCCUCUGCAUCUGCAGCCCCUCGCACUUUAGCUGUGCUGCCAGUUGCUGCAGGACACAAGUGUGUGUAUUUUCACAUCGGGCUUGUAGAGAGAACUUACACAUGUGAAUCUUGUAAAAGAAGCAAAAAGAUAAUUUAUGUUUAAAACUAAAAGGUUGAAAUGGAUUUUGUGUAUACUUCUGUACAAGUAAUUAUAAAUUUGAAAGCAUGUAUUUUCAUGUAGAGAUGCCAGUCAUAUGCUGCUUCUUUUUUUUGUUACUGGAUUCAUCAGCACUUUUACGUUUUGGCUGUGAUUUUAGUACUGAAAGCCAAUGUGAGUGAACAAACCCUCUCCCCUUAUAACAACAGCCAAGCAAAAUGGUUCACAUGUCCCAGAUAAGCUCUGGGUGUGUGUCUUGCUCUGGAAAUGUAAUUCCUGAAGGUUGCCGGCACCAGGCAAGCUCAGCUUCCCAACAGAAAGCAUGUUAAUUUCUCCCCAGCUGACUCUAUGCAAUUCAUCCUGGUUCUGCCCUUGACUAGUUUGUCUUUUCCUCUUCUGAAUAAAUGAAAACAUGAAAACACACAAGGGAAUCAUCCACCCAGGCCGUUGGGUUGCUGCGAUGCUCACAGGUUCGUGUACACUUGCAUUGCUUCUCUGGAUGUGGCCCUGCGAUUUCAAAUUGAUAAGUGAUCUAAUUUUGACUGUACUAAUCUUCCUAGAUCAGUUGAUAGGCUUAAAGAGUUGCUGAUGUUAGGCAGACAGAAAGAAACAAAAGUCUUUUGCACAGUUAGAAUUGCCAAGGAAACCAUUCUGCUGGUAUCUAAUGUUGGUAUUUCAGUUUUUCCCUUGUGUGACUGUUGGAAAACUGACUCUAGAACAGAAACGCUUCCAGUCUGAGUGCAUCGUCACUCAGCGUCUUUGUCAUUUGCUAUCAGUAUACCCAAGAGCUUUUGCCAUCCUUCUGAAGUUCGUUGGGCUUGCCGGUUUUAUUUCUAGAAAUGCAUGCAGCUAAAUUUAAAAAUAUGAUACUUGAUGGAAAACCAUGCAUUAAAGGAUUGCCCGUAUCUAAAAUGUUUCCCAGUCAUCUCAUGUUUUCUAAAAUAAUUUGUUAACUAAAUUUUAGUCUUUAUUUUAAACUAGGUCACCUUUAAGAAUUUUUAGUGCUUGAAAUCCGAUUUGUAGUGCUUGAACCAAAUCAAAUACCAGUUGGACUCCAUUUAAAAAUGAGUUUAUUUCUGGUAAAAGCGGAUUUUCUGAAGCAGAGCAGUAUGUUUGACUUGUGGUACUAAACUACAAACAACAGCUUUCCUAUCGUCCAGGUAAACUUCACGUUGCUUGACUGUUCUGUUGGAUACCUGUUAUUUCUAUUAAUCCUUAUUUUUUUUCAGAGUAUAUUUCAAAAUGAAGUUUUCUAAAGUCUUAGGAAGACUGAUGGAAUAAGAACACAACCACACAACCACUCUUUAAAGCAAAGAGGCUGGGGCUGUGAGUUCACCCGAUGGUCUUUAGCACCGAAGUGAGUUUUCUGGCCAUGGCAGCCUGAAUGGGACUGGUUUAUGAUAAUUUCAAGAUGUUUUAUAUGCUAGAAAUACCUGGCCUAUGGCUUUUUGCUUUCCACAUGAACAUGACCUAGGGGAUAUCAGGUGCAUUGCACCAUUGCAAAAUGAAGCCCUAAUCCAAAAAGCAGCUUAAUCCUGUGUUCUCGUUUAGGGCCCAGCUAGUCCUGGCUCAGAUGGAGCUGAGCCUGAGCUCAGGGAGCAUCCUGACAGAUGUAACUUUGAUUUUAAUGCUUUUCAGAAAUAACUCCUUUUUCAUUCCUGUGUCUGUACAUGUGCUAAUGAGCUUGUGGUUUGAAUCAGCUUCUGAUUUGUGACUUUUAAUUUAGCUUACAAUAGGCUAUCUGUGAGGCUUUGUAUUUGAGGAUAUAAUUCAGUAUAAUUAUUCCACGGAAGUUUUGAGGAAGCUGUACUCACAGCCAAGACAGCAUCUCCAUUCUUCUUUCACUGCUAAUCAGUUUAUAUGAGCCUUUCCUAUUCACAGCUUUGACCAUACUGAAUUUUUCUGAAACAAGCACUUCAUCCAUGGUUAUCAGACAGCAACAUGCCUGACAAAUGACAUUAUGUUCAGCAAAAAGCCUCAGGAAGCACAGAUUGGCCACCUCUUUCCCUCAGAGAACUGGACAAUAGAGGCUUUUUGUUACUGUUCAUUUUUCUUCUGUCAUAAGAUCUUCUAUCUUCUAUUUUUCUCUUCUAUAUCCUGGACGUUUUCUAAUCCUUUUCUGAAGACCAUACAAUAGUAGGUUAUUUUUCAGUUUAAAAUGAGAUAUGACUAAAGCCUCCAGUCUGCCCCAAACCUCCGUUCUUUUCCUUUCUUUUCUAUUUAAACUCAAUUCACACAGUAGCCACAGGAAACUCAUUUACAUGUUCAGAACCUGGAGAAAAAUCCCUGGCAGGUCCUCGCCUAGCACCGGCUCCUAUUGAUGCUCAGGUUGCAUUUCCCGAGGAUGGUACCUCUCUUAUUCCGAAAUAAUAAUAAAAAUUAGAUGUGAAAAUUAUUUAAAGAGAGACUGAAAGCUCUCUCCCCCCCUCACCCCCCCCAAGGGAAAGUGCACUUUCCCUUGGUGUGAGGAUAAAAGGUGUGGAUGACAGCAAGCAGAAAAUAUAUUCCCAAUGAUCAUCCUUGGCACUGGAUGGAGGAGUGUGGUCUCUGAGUUAUAGUUGUCAUUACCCCAGUUCCUACAGAUUAUACAUCCAGAGAGGAAGUCAUUUUCAAAAUGGAAAUAUUGGCAUUUGUGCUGAAACGUGGCAGGGAGCUUACUGAAAUAGGAGGUGUUCUAUUAAUAUUAUGAGUUAUUAUCGUCCUGCACUAAGCUUUGAAAGCCUGACACCUUCCCUGUGCUGAUAGGAGGCAGAGGUGGGUUCCAGAGGUGAUUAUAUCACCUUAUAGAGAAUGUUUGGUGUCAUAGAUGCAACAUGUUUGCUUCUAGGUCCUGACUUUCCCAUAAGCAAAAAUCAACAUGAUGCAACCUGCUUGGACCAAGAGUUUAGCUUUAAAGCUUUUCUAUGUCCAUUUCUACCUCUCCAAGCAUGAAGGAGCAGAAACCCAAUGGCAACAGCACUGAGGGAGCCCUGUUCCUGCAGCAAGACAAGGACCGUCCUACUGAUACAACUGGAGAACAGUGUGGGACCCUUUGCAGCUGGAGGAGGUGGUCAUGUAGUUGUCAAAACCAGCCAGUUUACUUGCUCCUACCCAAACCGCGAGAGACCAACUACAUAAUGACAUAUUAUAGAUGGGAACGGAAUGUAUCUUCUUGCUCUGUAGGGUUUGCUCAUAGUAGCAGCAGCUGCAUUAGCAACUGCCCCGUUCAUGAAGGAGGAAAGCAUUGUCUGAGAUGGCAUGAUGGGACUUCCAAAAGCUUCAGAGAGGUUAAUGACAAAUGUCCUUCACACCCCAGCAGCCAAGUGCCUUAAGCUCCUUCUCUAGUGUUUGCUGAAAUGCAAACAAUCUUUAAGUAUGUGCAGCAGAGUCCGCAGCAGGAAGGAACUGAAAACCCUGUUUAUUACCCAGAUGCAACACAUCCUUUACAGACCAAACCAAAGAUCUGUCUCACAAAGAGUUUCCAUCUGUUCCCUCGAAUUAAUGAUUUCUAAUUAGACAAAACACAUUCUUGCCCUUCCCUGCAAAUUCAGUUUUGAUUCUAAAAAUGGAAAAUGCACUGUAGGGUGCUAUAUUUUCAUGACCCUUAUGCAAAUCUCAGGCAGCAGCAAAAGAAGAUGCGCCCCUGCUGCCAAACAGCCGUGGUGUGAUACUCCAGAGACUCAACUGAGGCCAGUGAAUUUGCUCAUUUUGACAUACCUGAGUUGUCUGACCUUUGCAAAAGGAAUGAAGUACGUCAUGAAGAAUAAAGCACAGGAGUAACUUAAGAAAGGAAAUCAUAUUGAUAGUCAAUUGACUCCUGAUAUUCUCAAUCUAGUAGUUCUGUGAGCAGAGGAAUCAAGGUGUGAAUGGAGAAGAAUGACCACUGAGAAGGGAUCUGCUCCCACUUUAAGCUGCACCACUCAGUCCAGGCUGGCGGAUUCCUGGUUGCAAGCAGCUCCUGCAGCUACACUUGUCUGUUCUGCUGAAAACUGCUGGGUUUGUACUAUUUAGCCUGCUUGAAAGAACAAAAAGAGGUGCCCAGGGAUAAUGCCUUGUGCACGCCUGCCUCCAGCAGAAAGCCUCCGAGUCCAUUUGCUAUUAUUAAUAACAGUAAUCAUCACAAUUUACAUAUGCGGCUGGCAGCCUUGGAAGGGCUCCUGUAAACAUCUCCCUUCUAUAAAUAUGGGAGUUUCUAGCAGCCGCGGCUUCUUGGUCGGGCUUCUCCGGGACCUCUCGAUCUCAGAUGCUGCUGGAUGUCUGGGAGCGGUGGGUACGGCACUGGGACACAAUGGGGGGAUGCGAUGGGGACAGACGGUGGGAUUUACUGCAUGGGACUUGGCCAAGGGAGGUGAAACUGCUUCCCUUGAGCUACCGGGCACGGCUGCCGCCGGGGAGGGGACGGGUGCUGUACGGACUGUGCUUGCUGCAGCAGCAAUUGGUGCAACAAGUGCUUUGCGCUUUCUUCUUUGCUUUCUAGCUUUCUCCUCCUUUUUUGUUAUCCCAUCUCCUGACAUAAAAUCUAAAAUACGUUGCAAAGUGAUGCAUCAAACUGUUUCUUUUAAUUAGGAGGCACUUGCUGCUUCCACUUUCUAUUUUUUUAUGCAACAGUGGAUGUACAGUCCAGGGACUGCUGAUCAUGGGUCAGGCAGUAAAACCUAAUCCCUUCUAAAUCGCUCGUUAUUACGGGUGACAAAUAGUUUACAGGAACAUUAGCUGUUCCUCUGGACUGUAACUGAAUAAGCCUGUUUGGCUGCAACCACCUUCCCUGGAAUUGUCACUUCUGGCUGAUGCGUGAUACCAAAAUUGCUCAUCGCCACAAUGAUCCGAGUAAAAUUAGACUCCAUCUUUCUUUCUCAGCACGGAUGUGGAAUUUCUUUAGUUAUCUAGGAUAAAUAUGUAUGCUAAAUUGCUAUUGAAAUAUACAGAAUAUUUGUCUCUCAUUAGAUAUCUGAAGGCCAGAAAAUAUAAUACAUAAUGUAGCCAUUUUCAAUGGAAGAUCCCAUACAUUGUCUUGUUAGCCUCAAAAUUGCUCUUUGAUUCAAGUGAAAGGAAGAAACACUGCAGGAAUGCUGGUGAAGUACAGUUGCUGAGCCCAGAUAAUUGAAAUAUAAUUUGCUAGGAACUAGUGUUUAACUUAAAAUCCAUCCGUAUGUAGAGUGCAGUAGAACCUCUCAGAAUUCUGAAGUGUUUCUGGUUGGAAAAAGAGGCCGUUGCAGGCAGGGGGAUGUAUGUAGAACCAUUGUGUGGCCACUUCUGUGGUGCAGGCGUCUGCCAUGUUCAUUCUCAGAUGGAGCUUUGCUGAUUUACAGUGGGCGAGGGUCAAAGCAUUGGAGAAACACAAGAAUAUUUCAUCAAAAUUCAUUCUCUUUGCCCGCCCAGGUUAUGAAGAUGCACUUUUGUUCAUGUGGCUGUGUGCGCACACACAGUUUACAGAGGAUGGAAAUGCUUUUUGUAACAAGUUCUGUAGGUCAAGAACACCAUUUGAGGAAAAAACAAAUACCAUAAUCCCCCCUCCUAAAUAUAUUUUCUUACAGAGUUCCUUCCUCAUUUGGAAAGUCUACAUCUGUAGUGUCAGAGAUGUAAACACAUUGUAGGCUUUUAUGGCUAUAUUACUUAAUUUCCCCCUAUUUCUUGUGGUCACUGGUGGCCAUGUGGAAGGACUGGCCACUUGCCACCUGGACCAUGUGCCCCCACGGGCUGGGCGUGAUGGCCAUGGUGCAUUUGUAGGUGGGAAGCUCUUACUGAUGCUCUGAGCUAUUUAUCUCAGCUCUACAUGCAACAGCCUAUUUUAAAUACAGAUUUAAUAUAGCUGAUAUUGGUAGGGUUGUGGAGGGAAUACAGAAUUUAAUUUGCGGUGUCAGCUCUGGUGACAGGUUCAUCUGUAAUGUUAUGAAUUAGCUGCAACAGCUUUACCUGUGGAAACAUUGCACGCACUGCUUGUCUGCCUCUUCUAAAUGUUUAAGCCAGCUCUUGUUCUCUAAAUGAAUGUGGGCUUUUUUCUUAUUAUCUCACAAAGGUACAAAACUCCAUUUCAUUUCAUGAUGCCAUUAACCGUCUGUCUGAUUUCCAUCGUGGUCUCCUGUCCCAGUAACAACCCCUUCAGAAAGGGCUGGCGCCCGGCUCCAAGCUGCAGCUUUGUUUGCUCCCCGCUUCUCUCACAACCUCUUGUGGAUUACUCAAAAGAAAAGAAGAGAAAAGACUUAUCAUUUGGUGGUAGAAGCACAAAGACACAAACAAAAUUAAUUCCUCCUAUUAAUCUGCCUUGGGAUUUGGAGAGAGAAUGGCAAAACUCACAGUGGAAACAUAGACAUGUGUUGAACAGUUUUUGUAGUGCAAUAUCCAUCUUCCAACAGCAAUAUAUUACAACCUGGCCAUGCUGACUGUCAUCCAGCAUGUUCCUUUUGCAAUGUACAAGAGAUGGUUGGAAGCUGAUUUGAGGUGUCUUGCUUUCCCUGCAACCCGAUCCCAGGGCAAGGGGCUUCAGAGGUUGACUGAGGGAGAUAACACCCCGUUAUUUCUUCCAUCCAUGAAACCCUCCAACCUCACCAAGAGCCAGUGGGAACCCAGGUCACUCAUCAGUUCUAGGGCUGCCACUUGAGCUCCCGGAGCACUAAUGGAGGCUCGUUCGGACUCUUUCACAUCUCCUCUUGCCCUGGCGAGAUGACUCACUGCGAGGACCCAGAGCUCUGCCAUAGACGUCCUUCUCUCCAGGAGGAAUUUUUCCAGGAUUGCUCCUCCUUGGAGGAGUGCCCGGUACGUAAGUGUGACCAUCCAUCACCUUUGCAUCAGUCUAUCGUUUCUCUUUCAACAUUCUUGCUUGCGUGAGCUGUUUUACUACUUGGCUUUAAUAUUUUUUCCAUUUUCCCAUCUUGGAUUUCUAGUCCAAACAAAAUCAUCGUGCCACAGAGCUGGGGCUUUCACUGUGUAAAUGAGGGUAGUUGUACUCAGGUGGCUGAAUAAGUGAUGACUCUUAAAUUAACUCCAGCAUAUUGUUAUAGGUGCUUUGUGCUAUACUCCUACUGAGUGCUUAUAGCAAUGCAGCAUGUCUGGUUUAUGGUCUUAUUGAGUCAUUUCUCUGCUGGAUUAGUCUCUGUCCUAUCAAUAAUUUCUCUAAAAAUGAGUCAGAAGAGAACAAAAUAUGAAUUAGGAGGUAAGUGUAACACAACUCUGUAAUUAUGGCCCAAAUUUUUUGUUGUAUUUCAGGUUUUUUCAUAAGAAACACGUGAUAUUCCUACUUUCUAUUCAGUAUUUUUUUUCUUUUGGAUUUGAAAGGAACAAACCACAUUUUUUCUGAAACAAUCACACCACAGAGCUCUUGGUAAACACAGUGCAUUUUGGAGGUAGGAAAUACAGCAGUAUGGCAUCUCUGCUUGGCAGCUGCAAUGCUAAACUGCAGCUCUGGAGAAUCAGGGACAUAUCAGGUGUGGAUUAACCUUAGUGCUCAAAUAUUUUGCUUAUGGAAUUCAAAACGCUGCGGUGAUUGGGAAUGGCUUCCUUUUCAGCACGGACAGCGAGGCUGCCGCUGGCUCUCUUCCCACACGUCCCCGUGCAGAAAAAUGGUCUUGACCUAUUGGGUGAGCGAGAACAGCUACAUACAAGCCUAUCUUAAAUUAAAACAAUCUAUAUGUUCUGUAAAAACUGGAAAACAGGCACACUGGUAAAUUAAAGGAGUAAGGGGGAGACAAAUGGUAAGCAGAAAUAAGUGCAGCAAGGCUUUUUAAAAAAGUGUUUUAGUAAACGAGGGAAUACUAUCUAUGGUAUUGUUACUAGAUUACUAGGUAGGAACAAUGCAGCUGUUAGUCAUGGGUAGUGAAGGCAGAAAUGUUAAACAAAUUUGUUCUGAAAAUACGUAAAGAACAAGCUAAGGGCUCUUGAUGUUGCUCGAAUGAGCUCCAGCCUCCCCAGAGAGCCCCAGAGCUGUACAAUGGAACUUCACACCCGACACUGUGCCAAUGAGUUGAGAGUCUAUGAGCAGAACUCCUGCAAACCAUGUGCACAUCGGUCAAUCACCCAUUCCUUCAUCCGUCCAUCCAUCUGUCCAUCCCAGGCAUGAUGGGGAGCAACAAAACUUUGAAAUCACGGAUUGCAAGAGGCAAAUAUUGCUGAUCUACAUGGCUUUAUAUGAGAUAGAUGCUAUCAGUCAAACUUACCCUUCAUGUAAUGUACAUUUUGAUAUUGUUUAACAUGGAAAAUAUAUAUAAGGAUGAAGAAAUCAGGUGACACCACCUCCUGGACUCUGGCCUUGGAACUUGGAUUUUGAAGGGUUUCUGUGUCACUGCAAUUGGAUCAGCUGAAGGUUGGUGUGAAGCAUGACACUGGGACCUAAAGAAAACUGGCAUCCACACGCUUUUUAAAACAGGAUAUAGAUUGAUAUGGGGCAUAGGGGUGGUGUUGCCUCUAUGUCUGCUUUGGUGAGGCUGCAGCUUGAACAUCGUGUCCCAUUCUAACAGCCCAAAUGUAAAAAAAGACAAUGAGUUGGCAAAAGUUCAGAUAAGUGCUGUAAGCACAAUUUCACUACCAAAACCCUGUCUUUUGGUUAAUUGAAAGGAAGUCCAGGGCUUAGAGUUUUUAAGUCUCAUACAUUAAGUGGAAACCGGUAAUGUAGAGCCUAUCAAUCACUGUAGAAAAAAGAGAAAGAAGAAAGAAAUCCAUGAGUGACUUGAGGUAUAUUCAACAAAAAUUGUGAUUUCUGAACCUUGAGGAUAAGGAGCCUUUGGAAUGGUCGUGCUGAAUCUCCAUAGAUUGGGAGAAAAAUCGAACUCCAUAUUUUAUAGUUUUCUAGACACAAUCUAAUUAAAAAUCAAAGAAAUAAGGGAAGACUGACUGGUGGAACUGGUCUCUCCAUGGUACCUGAAUAUAGGUUAUCAUGUUCGAUAGUUCUAUUCUAGUACUCACCUACACAGGGGUUCUUGCCUCCAACAAGGAGUUUACUGCUCCUUGGCAACAACUUUUCAAGAUUCCUAGGCUUGUUAAAGUACAAAUCAGAGCUACUUACUUCUGCAUGCACCAAUUGUGGAUUGGUGUCUUCCAGACAAGAUGAAGAAGCACUUUUUAUUUUGUUAACAGGUAAAAUCUGUCACUGCUUCUUUCUGCUCCCCAAGCAAUCUUCGCCUGGCUCAUGUUUCCCAGGUGUUGCUAACAGGCAGCAAUGGCCCUGGGGGAUGUUCCAACACAAAUGAACUCUGCUGAUGAAGCGAGUCAACCACCCAGCGCUUUUCUUUGGAGCAUCCUUCCUCAGCGACGUACUGGGAAACAAAUGAGAACAUCCAGUUGUGUCCAUACCCACUAGUGCUUGUGAUUUAUAAGCAGGAAAAGAGCUCAUGCAGCUGGAGGAUGUGAUGAGGCUUCCAGCAUCUCCAAUGAGUAGUGAGUGAGGAGAAGGAUGCACCAUUGCAGGGAUGGAGGAAGGACAGGAAUGCUCCUCCAUGCUCAGAGUCAUUGUCAGUGCUGCAUUAAUUUCUUCCCCUGUGCCCAUCCUUGUUUCUAAGUAAAUUACUGCGAGGUAAUUGAUCUCUUUGAACUUUUCCUAAAUAGCAAAUAACUCAUGAAAAGUCUCUGCUGUGAAGAAAAGGCAGAAUUAAAUAAGAAACUAUUCUUUUCCAUCCUAUAGUUGGUGUAUAACACAACGCAGGUCAUGACCCGUUAUUUUCCCAGCUGCUGCGGAUGGAUCAUGGGGAAACUGGCAGUUUGUAGUCAAGGUGUCUGAGGUCAGAUCUUAGGAAAAAUUAUUUGUGAUGGGAAAAUCUGGGAUGGGUUAUCCGGGGAAACGGUGGAACCUUCCUUUCUGGAAGCUUUCCAGCAUUAAGGCAGUACCUGCCCUGGGCACUUUUGAUAUGCUGCAUCCUGGCCCUGCAAUGAGAAAUACUGCUUGCUGGAAGUUCUGACCUCCCAUUGCCAUGCUCUCCUAUUUUCAAAUCUUCUGGAAGCACUGAAUCUCCUACUUUAUUAUUAAAUUGAUCAUUGUUUCCCUGAUGGAGCGCUGUGUUACACACGUGCUGUGGUGAAACCUCUUUCCCGGUGUGUGGUCAGCAGCAUCCAUGGAGCAAAGAUGAGGAUGAGUAUGCUGUGGCUCCAAGGGAGGGGACAGCUCUGACAGAUGGUGCCUUGAACUGUUUCGUGGUGUUGUACAUUCUGGACAUGUGGGGGUUGUUAGAAUUCAUCUGGAAUUUUGACAUAAAAAGCUAAGAACAAAUGAAGCAGUAUUCUGCUGUCUGGGAACUGUGCAGGGUCCAGCACCCGCUGAUUGCCUCUCACCCCAGCUCCCUUGCUAGAGUGGGGGCUAUUGAUCCUGCUUCGACUGAUUAACAGCAGGACAAAGGAUUUCAGGGCUUUUAUCUCCAAGCACUAGCUUGAAUCAAUGGCAGUUCACAUUUUCCAGGAGGCUGGGUAUCUUGCUAAAACCCCUCUUUUCAAUCAGAGGAAUGAAUCUUUGCAAUGCUGCUGAGAAACAAAACAAGCUGUUGUCUCCUUGUCCUGUUGGACAGCAAAGCCAGGACCAAGUCAUAAGCCCUGGAGAUUCGGUAUGUGGGACCGAGCCGUGGAAGCGCUGGGAUGUCAACAUCACUGCACAGUGCAGGCCUUUAAUGAAAAUUAAAAAUAGUACAGUGCUUUAAACGCUCCCGGACCUUAGUUGGCAAAUGACAGAAUGUCAAUACUUGGCAGCAAUCUUCUAUUAAAAGUGUUUUUACAGUCUAACUUUGCUCUUUCCACGGCGACGGUUGAAGUUCCACAGGUACGGUCUGUGCCACGGCAGCGCUCGCCAGCACUGAGACACCUCAGGUAGAAUCUGGGAAAUGGUGAUUUUCUUCCCAGAUCCACCCUUGUGUGACCUGGGGACUGAGCGUGGGGCUGCAAUUUAACCGUUGGAUAAAUAGGGUCUAUUCAAAUCAUGGCAUGUAGUCAGGAGCUGAAGUCUUGCCCGUGUCUCACAGAGCCCCAGAUCUACUGAGUCCCUCAAGUCCCUCGUGAGGUCUCAUACUUCUCAUCCCUCUUCCAGGCAAUGAGCUGCUGUUCCACAUCUCUUGCCAAGUGCUGAACCCCAGCGUUUAAUCACAUUAAUUAAGCCCUCCCGCUGUACAGCCCCGGUGCAGCACAAUGGAGCUCCCUAGAAGCCUUUAGCUUUUAUUAUAGCUCAAGUUAACAAUAUUUUCCCUAAAGCCUGCUUUUAAUUUAUGUAUGUAUUUUCAUAUCCUAUCCAAGAUACAAGAAAUGUUAGGUGUCAUUAGCUAAGAUCUGCUGUGCUCCAUUUUCCAAUAACACUAGUUUUUUUCCUAAGGUAAUUCAUUUCUCACUCAAAGAAUAUCCCGUGGAUAUGCUUUGUUCAAGUUCAAGAUGUUAUUCAUGUAUAAAAAUGGUCACGGUGUACCAUUUGAAAAGGAGGAAAAGUGAUAGCAAGUACAUGGAGUGUGCAAAGAACAAAAUUACUUCAGGGAAUGUGUGGUUUCCUCUCUUCUAAUACAGCAAGGAGGUUUUCCCCCAGUGAAAAUCAAGGAACUGGCAUUACGGAGUAUUUGUGGAUGGGAUUAAUACUGGUACAAGCGCAUUCAGGCUGGACAUGAGGAGGGAAUUGUUGCCCUGAGGGUGGUGAGAGCCUGGCCCAGGUUGGCCAGAGAGGUGGUAGAUGAACCAUCCCUGGAGACAUCCCAGGCCAGGCUGGACGGGGCUCUGAGCAACCUGAGCUGGUGAAGAUGUCCCUGCUCAUGGCAGGGGGGCACUGGGGGAGCUGGGGAGGUCCCUUCAACACAAACCAUCUGUGAUUCUAUGAUUUCUCUGCAAAUGAAUGAGUAUCAGCCCAGCCUUUUGCCCCGUAUAAUGAUGUGAGACAAAGGGGUGGUUUUGUAUGAUGGCAACAUAGGCUCAUCGGGGAGGAAAAGCUCCAAAUAAUCUCAGUGAUCUCCUCUGCCACAAACACGUGCUCUUCAGCAGCUUGAAAUGUAUAUUUCAUAAAGAGAUACACAACUUUCAUUAACCACAUAGGGAUUUUAAUGAAAGUUUGAAUGGAUUUGUGAAACACUGAAUAUACAUUUUGAAAGCUUUGAGUGGCAGUUCCAUUACACACACACGUGCCCUGAUGGGCAGCAGGAUUUGAAACGUCUCCCUUGCUGUCAAACAGCCAGCGGGUUCUGCAGGGGAGGGAAUCAAAGAAAACUGCAUUUUUUUUUUAAAUCUGCUACCCAAAAUUACCAGGUAUUCAGUCAGCUUGUUUUCUUUAACUUCUGAGUAGUUCUUACUUGUAAUUAAUAUUUACAGCAUGAUUGGCACUUCUCAUUCCCGUGGUUUCAGUGAUACACAGUGAUUAGCUUAGGCAGGGAAUUUCAUCAGGCAGCAAUGGGGAGUUUGUGUUAAAGAACCAGGUCCAGCUUCUUGGGAAUGCAGCAAUAUCCUACAGGGAAUAUAUUGUCAAUUUAGAGUGACAGCUGUAAAUAAAAGAAUUGUUACAUCUUCCUUAUAGAGAUUAUUCCACAGCCUAACAUCUCUCAUUUUCAAGCCUUUCCUCCAAACCAGCAGCAUUGCUCUCCUGCACUCUGGCCUCUCCCAGCCCAUCUUCACUGGACACAACUCAUCUCCAAAAUAUUUUCUGCCCCAUCAGUUUAUCUUGUAGAUGUGUGUCACACAUUUUGCACUCUUGUUGCCAUUUCUUUCCUAGACUACAUGUUUUUAAUGUGUAUGUAUUUCUUUGUAAGUUUUUCCAGAUACAAGGUGAUUUUUCUCGCUCUUCCUCUCAUUUUCCAAUUUGUUGGGAGCGUCUGAGCAGGAUUUAGACACCAGCUUUUGUUAUCCAGGAACUAACCAGAGUGGGGGCUACCUGUUCAUAAUUUAUUUAAUGGCACAUUCACCAAUACAGCACACACAGACAAAAAGGGGAUUUUAUGCGCAUUUACAUUUUUCACACAGUAAAGUCAUCUCUACCUUUCUAUUCAGCCCAAUGUCUGUGGCUGAACCCUUGUGCUCAUCCCUUCAGCUCCUGGAGCUGAGGGAGGACUCGGUCCUUGCUUUGCCCACAAGGUGGUGAGGCCAAAGACAUUGGAGAAUCACAGAAUCAUUUUGGUCGGAAGAGAACCUCAAUGUCAUCGAGUUCAACUGUUAACCCAACGCUAGCACUGCCCUGUGUCCCUGAGAACCUCAUGUCCGUCUGUCCAGCCCUCCAGGGAUGGUGACUCCAGCACUGCCCUGGGCAGCCUGUUCCAAUGCCCCACAGCCCUUUGGGGAAGAAAUUGUUCACAGAUCCAACCUCAACCUUCUCCUUCAUCUCUGCUCAGUCUCCUUGGACGUGGUGGAUGGUUUUGCUGUGGCUGCUGCAGGUUUGAUGGGCCGAUAUGUUCGUACAACCUCCCUGGAGGCACUUCUAAAAUAGAAGCAAGUGUGGGGGGGAAAAUCCUAACCUGAUUAUGAUAGAAUAAAGGACAUAAAAGUGAUAUAUUGCUUUGUGUAUUUUUCAUAUCAUGUGCUCAUGACACUGUUUUUCCAUGUGCUAAAAAUACGUUCUGUAACUGCAGAAUGGGUCCCAAGCUGCUGGUGGCCAAAUUGAUGGAUACGCUUAGUUCUGAGGAGCUCAGGCUUCCUUUGGUUUCUUUCUUCAGUGAUUGUGUCUGCUCUGCCCUCAUAAAAAGAAAAUAUCUAAUUUUUGGCAUUGAAAAAGAAAGAUGUCCCCUAAAAGAAAGCAGCUUCCUACACAUAUACCACAGAGAAGAUGAAUUGCAUGGUCACCAAUGUCUCUUGGCCUAGAUUUAAAUUCAGUGAAGGAGGAAAGGGAGGUGUUAAAGUUUUGCAUGUGAGUGUGUGUGCUGCUUUGGGACGAGAGGCAAACAAAGCCUUAAUGCAAACAGGUGCUCUUAACAACUUUAAAAAUAGUUUCUGUAACACAGCUGUCUGCCUCCUGUGUUUGCAACAGACAUUUGCUGGCUCGGGGUGGCUGUGCGGGGCAGCAGGGAGGCUCUGCCCAUGCAUGGAGGAUGAUGAUGUUCUGGGGGGUUCAGAGCCUGGACCAGCAGCAUUGCGGCUGCAUCCCAUGGCAGCGAGGGGCUGAGGCUUCCCAGAGCACGGACCCUGCAACCCCUUUGUGUUCUUUCCCUACCUGUGUGAGCUGCUGCCCUCAUCUUCCCUACAAACAUCCACCCCUUUCCUGAAAUCUGCCAAUUUCCCCGGCUUUCCCAGGUUAACCACACAUUUUUUUAACUUUUAAAAACCAAGUUUUCCUUUGCAUUAAGUUUAUUACUCCUCAGUGCCAUCCGUAGUGCUUUCCCCCUGUAUUUUGUACACUUCCCACCGCCUGCUGGCUUCUGUCUCUGCUUUUUUCUCUGUCUUGCAGUCAAGAAGCCGGUGUCCCCGUGCCAGUGACCGUGCAGUGGAGACGGGAGCGGCACCACGGGCGGAACGGGCUGGGAGAAAAUCUGGCUGCCAGCCCCCAGCAAGCAGCAGCUAUCACCUGCUGGUGGGCAGCUAACAGAACAUUAGAUCUUUGGACAGCAAGUUUAAGCCUUAAUUAUAGUGAGGACACCGCUGUUCCAUAAUAUAAAAGAAUUGAAUGACUCGAUGUCCCUCGGGACUCCUUCAGCUUUACCGGUUAGACAGCCCCCGUCAUGGUUUGCUGAAAUCAAUGACCGUGGCGUAAUCCAUCCAUGCACACAAACGGGGCUGUCGAGGGAGGAGGAGCGCUUCUAAUGACUCAUUCUGUAACAGUAAUUAAUAUGGGCUGUGUGUUAAAGUGGGCUGCCUGACUGAAUGUG